rnacentral:lncRNA from 9 species
AUGCAGCCUCUGCAGAAUCCAAAGCAGUCAGAACGCUUCACGGACUGUCCAAUCAUCUGGACUUCAGGCUACCUGAGCUGUCAGAAAGUGACCCGCAGAUGGGAAGAGCAGGACAAGGUCCUUCCUAUCAGGGUCGUCUCAGAGCCAGUUCCUUCAGGAAUGUGCCUCGCAUACAUGGUCUCAUAUGGACUCAACAUGAUUUUUCCUUUAGGGACUAUUCACAUUUGCACAAGUACUAUGGGGAAAAGGGAGAUCAAGCGUUGGAAGCAGCCCCAGAAGACAGACCUUCCCCCUCAAGAAUGGGGAGUAGUGACGAGGAAAGGGGGUGUUGUUGCCAGAGCCGACAGCAGAUCCUUGCCAAAGCCUGCGAAACCCUCCUUAAACUGGAGUUAUCCUGUAUCAAGAAGUGAAAGGUCUGGAGACAAGAGGAGGAAGGUAUAGGAAGAGACAAACCAGACGGAACCAGGUGGAAUCAGGAUGACGACGACUCUGACCUCCCCCAGACUCCGAUUCUCAUUCAACACAGAUUUUGCCACAUUAGCUACUAGAUGACACACCUACUGGUGGUCAUGACUGGAAGAUGCUGACCUAAAAAGGAUAAAAGGGGGGUGGCAUCCAUAUCCAGGAAAGCCCUGACCCUUCCCUGCAGAGUAAUGGGCAGGCCUCCCUGUCAUUAGCCUCACUCCUCUUCCCUUUAUCUUUUCUCCUUAAAAUCAAAGACCUCUCACAACUUGGAUGGGAACUUCAGCUGUGAACUAAGGUCCUACUUAUCCAUUCUUUGCCCACUGAAUAAAACCUGGGCAUCCACCUCC